UACGGAGGGGGCUAGCGUUGUUCGGAAUUACUGGGCGUAAAGCGCACGUAGGCGGCUUUGUAAGUUAGAGGUGAAAGCCCGGAGCUCAACUCCGGAACUGCCUUUAAGACUGCAUCGCUUGAACGUCGGAGAGGUAAGUGGAAUUCCGAGUGUAGAGGUGAAAUUCGUAGAUAUUCGGAAGAACACCAGUGGCGAAGGCGACUUACUGGACAGUGACUGACGCUGAGACGCGAAAGCGUGGGGAGCAAACAGG
rnacentral:rRNA from 1 species